rnacentral:rRNA from 1 species
UAGGGAAUCUUCCGCAAUGGACGCAAGUCUGACGGAGCAACGCCGCGUGAGUGAAUAAGGUUUUCGGAUCGUAAAGCUCUGUUGUUAAGGAAGAACGAGUGUGAGAAUGGAAAGUUCAUGCUGUGACGGUACUUAACCAGAAAGGGACGGCUAACUACGUGCCAGCAGCCGCGGUAAUACGUAGGUCCCGAGCGUUGUCCGGAUUUAUUGGGCGUAAAGCGAGCGCAGGCGGUUAGAAAAGUCUGAAGUGAAAGGCAGUGGCUCAACCAUUGUAGGCUUUGGAAACUGUUUAACUUGAGUGCAGAAGGGGAGAGUGGAAUUCCAUGUGUAGCGGUGAAAUGCGUAGAUAUAUGGAGGAACACCGGUGGCGAAGGCGACUCUCUGGUCUGUAACUGACGCGGAGGCUCGAAAGCGUGGGUAGCAAACAGG